CUCGGCUCGGCCUGGGCGCACCUUUUCUCCCUCCUGCCACAAUGUGAGCGCUCAGCCGAGCAGAUAACCGCCGGCUGCCUGCUCCACCCCCGGCCCUUGCCCACUCCGCCCACUCCCGAGCGCCCAGAGGAUGCUGACUGCAGGGAUGGAGGAACUUUUUCCACUGCAGAAGAACAAUGUGGUGCCUAUGGGAACAUGCCAUGUGACCAUUCUCCAUUCCUCCCAGCAAGGCACGCUGGGUGAUGUGAAGAACCCAGGAAGGAAAGCUGGAGGAGAGCAUGGUGGGUGGCAGAGCGGGAUUUGGGGAAGCCCUGAGCCCUGCUCCAUCUGACCCUCAGUACAUCUGUCUCCGUCACUGUCUACCUGCCCUGCUCACGCGUGCCCCUCACUCACCCCACGGCAACAGGCCUAUCUUUCCCCCAACAUCAAAAGAGCUAUUUCAGCGACUGUCGCUGUACCUGGCCCAUAGCCUCUAGUCUAUAUAUGUCUGUCAAAUGAAUUGGCUAUAAACAUGAAAAGGUUUCUCCUGAAAAGGUUAAAAAAAAAAAAAAAAA
rnacentral:lncRNA from 1 species